GAUGAACGCUGGCGGCGUGCCUAAUACAUGCAAGUCGAGCGAACGGACGAGAAGCUUGCUUUUCUGAUGUUAGCGGCGGACGGGUGAGUAACACGUGGAUAACCUACCUAUAAGACUGGGAUAACUUCGGGAAACCGGAGCUAAUACCGGAUAAUAUUUUGAACCGCAUGGUUCAAAAGUGAAAGACGGUCUUGCUGUCACUUAUAGAUGGAUCCGCGCUGCAUUAGCUAGUUGGUAAGGUAACGGCUUACCAAGGCAACGAUGCAUAGCCGACCUGAGAGGGUGGUCGGCCACACUGGAACUGAGACACGGUCCAGACUCCUACGGGGGGCAGCAGUAGGGAAUCUUCCGCAAUGGGCGAAAGCCUGACGGAGCAACGCCGCGUGAGUGAUGAAGGUCUUCGGAUCGUAAAACUCUGUUAUUAGGGAAGAACAUAUGUGUAAGUAACUGUGCACAUCUUGACGGUACCUAAUCAGAAAGCCACGGCUAACUACGUG
rnacentral:rRNA from 1 species